AGUGAACGCUGGCGGCAGGCCUAACACAUGCAAGUCGAGCGGCAGCGCGUCCGACCACCCUCGGGUGGUCGGAUGGCGGCGAGCGGCGGACGGGUGAGGAAUGCAUCGGAAUCUGCCUCGUUGUGGGGGAUAACGUAGGGAAACUUACGCUAAUACCGCAUACGACCUACGGGUGAAAGUGGGGGACCUUCGGGCCUCACGCGAUGAGAUGAGCCGAUGCCGGAUUAGCUAGUUGGCGGGGUAAAGGCCCACCAAGGCGACGAUCCGUAGCUGGUCUGAGAGGAUGAUCAGCCACACUGGAACUGAGACACGGUCCAGACUCCUACGGGAGGCAGCAGUGGGGAAUAUUGGACAAUGGGGGCAACCCCUGAUCCAGCCAUGCCGCGUGUGU
rnacentral:rRNA from 1 species